CACCAGACAGAGAUAAGAAAAGCUAGACCUCCCCUCUCAGAUAGAGAUGGAAAACAGCACAGAAAAGCCUCAACACUCCAAGAAAAACAAGAAGAAGGGGGCAGAUUUGGAUACAUUUUAUGUAGCAAAAAUACAAAAUACAGAGGAGAUAGAAGAGGAAACACAAGCAAAUGCUCCGAAACCUUCCAAAGUAAAUGGAAACUCUCCACAAACCCAUGAAGAAUUUGAAUCGGAAAUGAUCAAAAAGAUGGAAGCCUUCUGGGAGGAAAAGUGGGAAAUAAAGCAAAAGAAAUUCACGCAUCUACAAAACCAGUUUGACCAAAGUGAAAAGGAAAACCAGGCUUUAAAAGUCAGAAUCAGCCAACUGGAAGAAAAUGAGCAAGAAUUAAUAAAGCAAAGCCAAAAGACCAAGAAAUUAGAAGAGAACAUAAAAUAUCUCACCGACAAGGUCAUAGACUUGGAAAAUAGAGGGAGAAGAGACAAUUUAAGAAUAAUUGGACUCCCAGAAAAGCCAGAAAUAAACAGCAAACUCGACAUCGUAAUACAAGAGAUAAUCAAAGAAAAUUGUCCAGAGAUUCUAGAACAAGGGGGCAAUACAGCCACUGAAAGAGUUCACAGAACACCCUCUACACUAAAUCCCCAAAAGACGACUCCCAGGAAAAGUAAUUGCCAAAUUCCAAAGCUUUCAAGCAAAAGAAAAAAUCUUACAAGAAGCCAGAAAAAGACAAUUUAGAUAUAAAGGAAUGCCAAUCAGGGUCACACAAGACCUUGCAAGUUCCACUCUGAAUGACCAUAAAGCAUGGAACAUGAUUUUCAGAAAGGCAAGAAAGCUGGGCCUUCAACCAAGAAUCAGCUACCCAUCAAAACUGACUAUAUACUUCCAAGGGAAAGUAUGGGCAUUCAACAAAAUAGAAGAUUUCCAAGUUUUUGCAAAGAAAAGACCAGAGCUCUGUGGAAAGUUCGAUAUCGAAAAACAAAGAGCAUGGAAUACCUGAAAAGGUAAAUAUAAAGGAAAGGGAA
rnacentral:lncRNA from 1 species